GAUGAACGCUGGCGGCGUGCUUAACACAUGCAAGUCGAACGGAAAGGCCCCUGCUUGCAGGGGUACUCGAGUGGCGAACGGGUGAGUAACACGUGGGUGAUCUGCCCUGCACUUCGGGAUAAGCCUGGGAAACUGGGUCUAAUACCGGAUAGGACCAUGGUUUGGAUGCCAUUGUGGAAAGUUUUUCGGUGUGGGGUGAGCUCGCGGCCUAUCAGCUUGUUGGUGGGGUAAUGGCCUACUACGGCGUCGACGGGUAGCCGGCCUGGGAGGGUGCAGGGCAACAUUGGGACGGGGAUACGGCCCAGACUCCAACGGGAGGAAGAGGUGGGAAAUAUUGCACAAGGGGCGAAAGCCUGAGGAAGAGACGCGGGGUGGGGGAGGACGGCCUUCGGGUGGUAAACGCCUUUCGCUAGGGACGAGGCGCAAGUGACGGUACCUGGAGAAGAAGCACCGGCUAACUACGU
rnacentral:rRNA from 1 species